rnacentral:rRNA from 1 species
GACGAACGCUGGCGGCGUGCUUAACACAUGCAAGUCGAACGGAAAGGCCCUGCUUUUGUGGGGUGCUCGAGUGGCGAACGGGUGAGUAACACGUGAGUAACCUGCCCUUGACUUUGGGAUAACUUCAGGAAACUGGGGCUAAUACCGGAUAGGAGCUCCUGCUGCAUGGUGGGGGUUGGAAAGUUUCGGCGGUUGGGGAUGGACUCGCGGCUUAUCAGCUUGUUGGUGGGGUAGUGGCUUACCAAGGCUUUGACGGGUCGCCGGCCUGAGAGGGUGACCGGCCACAUUGGGACUGAGAUACGGCCCAGACUCCUACGGGAGGCAGCAGUGGGGAAUAUUGCACAAUGGGCGGAAGUCUGAUGCAGCAACGCCGCGUGCGGGAUGACGGCCUUCGGGUUGUAAACCGCUUUCGCCUGUGACGAAGCGUGAGUGACGGUAAUGGGUAAAGAAGCACCGGCUAACUACGUG